ACGCAGGUUCAAUCCCUGGCCUCACUCAGUGGGUUAAGGAUCCCGCAUUGCCAUAAGCAGUGGCAAAGUUUGCAGACUCAGCUCAGAUCUGGUGUUGCUGUGGCUGUGGCAUAUGUCAGAGGCUGCAGCUCCAAUUAGACCCCUAGCCUGGGAACUUCCAUAUGCCAGAGGUGCAUCCUUAAAAAGAAAAAAAAGAAAGAAGAAAAAUCACUAGAAAUACAAACCAUGCUUCUCCUUUCUCUUUAAAGCUUUGCAUUCCUACAGUUCCUUGGUGGCCUAGUGGUUAAGGAGUCAGCAUUGUCCCCCUGCUGUGCCAUGGGUUUGAUCCCUGGCCCUGGGAAUUUCUGCACACACACACACACACACACACACACACACACACACACAAAGGGAAAAAAAAUAUCUUUGCAUUCCUGUGUAUGAUACUGAACAGUAGUAAUUAAAUUGGAUUUGUCAACUGUGGGAUGAAAUCAGGGCUGAGAGUGUCGACAAUUCAUUGUAGUAAAGAAAAAGUUGGAUGGUGCUUCUGUUUUACUUCUGCUCAGGAGUACAAGUCGGACAUGCCUGGGCCACAGCCUGGGUACCCCAUCCUACCAAUGGUGCUGGAACCUGCGGGUGGACUGCAUCGGGCCCUCUACUACCCUUACUACAAGAGGUGAAGACAUAUCUGGUAUCAUCUCCCAGGGCAUCAGAAGAACUAAAGCAGGACCUGCGUCUUGUACAUCAAGGUGACCAUAAGGUCCAAGGCCAAGAAUAUCAAAAGCACUCAAGAUCGUGUGCCAAUUCAUGUUUACAAGCCUUUGAUCCCUGUGCUCCAAACUCUGGAUGGUGUCACAGUUCAAAGAACUGAGUCCAGUUCACAAGAGUCAUUUCAAAAAGAUUUUAGUGAUAUAUUUCAAUUUGUAAUACUGUAAGAGUCUUUGCCAAGCACAGAAUACCUCUUUACCCCCCUCUUUUCCUGCCAUCUAUGUUUAAUGCAGUUAAUUAAAAAUUGUUUAUCAAUAUCAACUACACACUAAACAAGGCUCCUUGGACCACAGAUAUGGGACACACGAUUUCAUGGUCAGGACAAUCUCUGCCACAACAAAGUCCCCCAGACAAAUAUCCAACCCUGACCUGUGUGCCUCCUGUCAUCCUUUCUUUUCCCUUUCCCUCUAGUUCUUUAUUAUAAAGCCAAAAGAUUAGCCCAGUGACAAGUCAGACUGUUCCAGGAAGGCAGCAGAGAGAAAAAGCUGGGAAUCCUCACGCAUAAUUAUUUAAUCCCAUAACAAAACUACAAUGCAUCUUGAUUAUGAUGUUGUGUUUUGAAGCCCUCAAUCAGAAUUCAAACAAACUCCCAUCCCUUUUGAGAAAUGAAAGAGUAGCCACUAACCCUCAGGCAGAGAAGGAAAUGAGAAGUUUGACAAGAAUGUAAAAACCACUGCCACCAUUUAUAAUUGGAUGUUCCUUGUAGCAGGUCAUUUGUGGCAUGCGUACUGUGGGUACACUUUUCCCCUUCUUAAGGAUGACAGUUCUGUAUGAUCAGAGCCUAGAUGCAAGUUGUACUGAACAGGGAUGUAUUUGUUUGCUAUUGCUGCAUAACAAAUUACUAUAAACUUAGGUGCUUAAAGUGACACUAGUUUAUCAUUUCACAGGUUAUUGAACUGGCUUCUCUGUUCAAGGGCUCACUAGGCCAAAAUCAAGGUGUCAUUCAGGGCUGUGAGCCCGUCUAGUACUCAAGAGCCUCUUUUGAGCUCACAAGGUUGUGACUGAAUUCAUUUCCUUGCUGGCUGUAGGACUGAGGUCCUUGUUUUAUAUCUAGGUGGCAGUUGAGGGUCUAUCACAACUCCUGCAGAUCCCAGUGGUUCUUGCCAUGUGGCCUCUCAUGGGCCCUCUCAGAACAUGACAACUGACUCCUUCAAAGCCAGCAGGACAGUCUCUGACCUCGGGGAGGGCCCUAGUCCCUCUUUUAGAGGGCUCACUUAAUUGGGUUGGACCACUAAAAUAAUCUCUCUUUUAAUUCACUCAAAGUCAACUGAUUAGAGACCUUAAUCACAUCUUUAAAAUGUCUCCACCUCUGCUAUAUAACUGCAAGAUAAUCUCAGGGGUGCUAUGCCAUCACAUUCACAGGUCUUACCCAUUCUCAAAGAGGGGAGAUUUUAUGGGAUGUGUACCCCAAGAAGCAAGAAUCCUGGGGGUCAUCUUAGAAUUCUGCCUACAACAUGGGAGGGACCACCACGAUGGAACUGGCAACAAUUAAUCCCAAACUACUACAUGUGAGUGUGUGUGUGUGUAUGUGUGUGUGUGUGUGUGUGUGUGAGAGAGAGAGACACAAUCAUAAACUCAGGAACUUGGAACUGAAGAUGGGCUCCCUAAAAGUGUAAAAUCCCAUACUUAAGAUCCACAACUAUCACAUAGAAUAUUUAUUGUUUAUUUAUCAGGACAAUUCUGCAAUAGCACAUGCAUUUAAGGCUUUCACUCCCUAAAACCAAGUGAAAUCUUGAGAUAAUUCCAGUGAUAAGGACAGGAGCCCAGAUGUGCCUUUCAGCAAUGACUUUCUCUCACCUGGAAAACUACAAAGUGAAUUUGAAACCACUGGUAACACCGUGGCAGUCACAUGGAUAAGAUUUUUUUUAAAAAAGGAAGAAGAGAAACAUCAGGAGCCUUUAAGCUGUUUUCUAAAUUUGACAUCAGCAGAAUAUUUAUGUUGGCAGUAUCCUGUAAAUCGCAGCAGGAGAUUUGACAGGAGGCACUCUAUGCAUAACCCAUGUGAGCCCCAGAUCAAGAAGAGAGUAUUUGCAUAAACCGAAUCCUAGAGACCAUGUCAUCGCGAUCGUUCUCUUCCUCCUUCCUCCCUCUCCACCCUGCAAGCUAGUGGGGUUGAGUUUCCUGGGCUACCUUCCAUGAACAUCAAGGAAUGCAACAGAGAUGAAUGUUACAUUGACACCAGCAGAGCUACCACAGAAAACUGUUUGUCCACCCUUUUCAUUUCUCAGUACCAGCAAGCAUCUGAAGACUUUGCACCUGUUCUAGUUAGCCCUGGCAAAUGCAGCCUGUAUUUAUAUUAAUAGAAUGAUGUUUUCAUAACAAAAUGGAUGUGCAGCGAUCACGGACUCAUGCUGGAUGCUCUCAUAAGCGCCCAGAUCGGGGGAGGGGCAGCUCUUACAUAAAGCCCCAUGGCAAGGGGGAAAGACGCGCAAAGCCCACGCUGAAUCAUCGGACAGGUUGAGAACUUGUUCAGGAAUGGCCCGACUCGUGUAUUGGAAAUUAAAUUAGAUUCUCGAUUAAGAGGAAAAUACGCUGGAGAGAAAUGGGCUUUGCAAGGGCAGUUCGGGGCUCUGAACUCUUUUGUAUUCCGUCUCCUGUUUCUGUAAUGUGUGUCUUAUCUCCCCAGAGGGGAGCAGAAAACUGGUGAGAUCAUACUUGGCUCAAUUCCUGAAAGUUUGUUUUGAGUCACCAGUGUAAAUAUGGCCCACCCAAUCUGUACAUUUGCACAAAUUAACUGAAACCAGCUACCCAAUUCCUACUUCACUUUUGGAUCUGUUGAUUAACCCUGACAGCUGUAACCUCAUUAGUCCAAGCUCUGGCCGUUCCAGAGCAGCUGUCAAAUUAGGAAGAAGUGGACUCACUGAAGUCGCCUAUGGACCAGGCACGUUAAAAUCAAUAGACGCUCUAAAAGGUUUCAGUUUAUGAUUCUAAUUCUAAUGUAUGUGAUGCGGUGGGCUUUUCACCCAGAUCCGUAAUAUGGGCCUGAAAUCGGUUCUUUACGGAGAAACCAGAGGCUCUAUCACAAGGCAAGAACAUAGGUUUUAUCUGGAGAGUUUGGAUCUGUAUCAGUUGAAAAUGGGUUUUUAGCAUGCAUUAUAACACAGACAUUUUAAUAUAUUUGAAAAUAUUAGUUCCUAAUGUAUUUUUUGGCAUGAGAGAUUUUGUUAGUUUUGACAAGAGGCCAACAAAGUCUUGACUACAGAAAUAAGAAAAAUCUUACAGCUGGCCCUCAAUGGAAAAGUAGAGUUAAAAAGUGAGGAAAGGACUAAAACACACUCCAAUAGGAAUGCGGUUUCCCAAAAUAGAACACGGAUCCCUUCUGUAAGAAUCUCUAAGGAAGGAGUAGGGAGGGAAAUUCCCAAUGUCUUUUCUUUAAAAUCUGAAGGGCCAGGGAAGGAGAUGACUUUCCAUCCACCAAAGUGUUGCCAAGAACAGUGGAAACAGGUCAAAUGCAGUGUGUGAACUUCUCUUGCAGCAUUUUCAUUGUGGGGAGAUAGCACAGGGGAGCCGAAGAAGUUCUGAAGGAAGAAUCUGGAGACUUCAGUUCUGAUCCCAGUACUGUCCCAGUUCUGCCAAGUCCACCAGUGCGUGUUUGAACAAGUUCCUUCACCUCUCUAGAUCUCAGUAGACUCCGUUUAUAAAAUGAGGUUUUCCAGAUGAGUGAAAUGAUCCCUCUAUCUUUAAUGACUGUGGACUCUUUGCACAAAUCAUGAGAAGCUUCUCCUCCAUGGCCCAAGGUGGAUCUAGGUACGAGGUUUUUUUCUCUUCAGGGUAAUUCUCUUCUACUCUUUGCAGUGCCCCUUAGCCUAUUAUGCAAACAGGUGCUGUCCUUUGGCGCCCCCUGGUGAUGGCUGGGGCUUUUACAUGCACCUUCCCCCACGUGGCCCUAGAAGAUAAAAAUGCUAACUCUGGGCACCUUCCCCAGUAGAACGCAGUUUGCUGCUCACCAGGGGGAAAAGCAAUCCAAAAACUCAUUACUGUCACUUUAUAGCUUUAACACACUGCUUUCUUGAGACUUAAGGGACUAUGCAGAUUUUAUUUAAGUAGCAUUAAUCAGACGCUCUAUUGGCAUAAAUAUUAUCAACUCCUAGCCUGUUCCAAAUUGAAGGAUUUAGAAACAAUAAGGACUUCUACUUUCAUUAUUGUGAGGAAACAGACCAGUAAAAUAAGAAGUAUUUAAGUGUUUAAGAGAGGCCAAGUGUUUCCUUUGCACAUGACUAAUUUAAAUUACCAGAAAUAUCAGAGAACGUAUGCUCUGGUGUUUCCUAAAUGGGAAAGCACUAGGAGUUUAUUGAGCCUUUUCCCAUACCUUUCCUUCAAUUUAAAAAUCAUUUACAGGGAAAACUCUGUGAGUCAAAAGUCAGUUAAGAUGAAAAAGUAAAGAAAAUCAUUUUUGUUGUUUGUUGUUAUGGAAAGACAGAUAACUAUAUUUUAAGUAUCGUGAACCACUGGGAAUUAGAUUCUACUCUCAAUCAUGACAAUUUACAGUUAGAUUAUAUUUGCCUUAAUCGUGUCAGUCCCACUUUUUCUUGUUUAUAAUUAUAUUCUGUUCCUUUCACUUUGAGGCUCUGUUGAACAUAGUAAAAAGAUGUCUUUGAUUUAGUGUAAAAGCAGAUACAUCUUUCAUUUAAAUGCCAAACGUUGUGACUAUCCAAAGAAAUUAACCAAAUACAAUGUGAAGGAAAAAAGACAAAACUCAGAAAACUUUAAUUAUUCUAUGUUGACUACAGUGACUUUACCAUGGGCUACUAAUGCUAAGCCCUUUCAAGGCCGAUUCAUUUUCAUGCAUCCAGUUCAAUGUGAUUAUAACAACUAUGACUGCUUCCAGGUAGGGUUAAAAAAAAAAAAAUAGUCACAGGAAAGAGAAAAGUCAAUAUUCCCUAAAGGAGAAAAACAUUUCUUUGCCAUGCUUACUUGACUCCUUCUGGCAAAAGGCUGUUAGCAGUUGUACCACACAGUUCAACCAGAACGUGUCUCCAGAAAGAAAAAAAAGAAAAAA
rnacentral:lncRNA from 1 species